GUCGACGGGAAGACAUGAAGAGCUUGCUCUUUAUGAAAUCCAGUGGCAAACGGGUGAGUAACACGUAAACAACCUGCCUUCAGGAUGGGGACAACAGACGGAAACGACUGCUAAUACCGAAUACGAUUCUUGAGUCGCAUGACACAAGAAAGAAAGGGUGGCCUCUACUUGUAAGCUAUCGCCUGGAGAGGGGUUUGCGUCCGAUUAGGUAGUUGGUGAGGUAACGGCCCACCAAGCCGACGAUCGGUAGCCGGUCUGAGAGGAUGAACGGCCACAUUGGAACUGAGACACGGUCCAGACUCCUACGGGAGGCAGCAGUGGGGAAUCUUCCGCAAUGGGCGAAAGCCUGACGGAGCAACGCCGCGUGAGUGAAGACGGCCUUCGGGUUGUAAAACUCUGUGAUUCGGGACGAAAGAUAAGUAGACGAAUAAUCUGCAUAAGUGACGGUACCGAAAAAGCAAGCCACGGCUAACUACGUGCCAGCAGCCGCGGUAAUACGUAGGUGGCAAGCGUUGUCCGGAAUUAUUGGGCGUAAAGCGCGCGCAGGCGGCUACUUAAGUCCAUCUUAAAAGUGCGGGGCUUAACCCCGUGAUGGGAUGGAAACUGAGAAGCUGGAGUGUCGGAGAGGAAAGUGGAAUUCCUAGUGUAGCGGUGAAAUGCGUAGAGAUUAGGAAGAACACCGGUGGCGAAGGCGACUUUCUGGACGACAACUGACGCUUAGACGCGAAAGCGUGGG
rnacentral:rRNA from 1 species